rnacentral:misc_RNA from 1 species
GUCUUAGCUGGUCAAAUUGACCCUUUUCUGUUUGAAGCACUAUAUGCUUCUCAGCAUGCUAUAUUUUUCGUUGCCAGAGUUCCCCAAAUAUGGAAGAAUUUCACUAACAAAAGUACGGGCGAACUCAGCUUUCUAACAUGUCUUAUGAACACUCUUGGCUCUGUUGUAAGAGUUUUCACCAGCUUUCAGGAAAAUGCACCAACGAGUG